CAUCAGUCACACCUCUGCAUUCAGCCAUGGUGGUGAUGACUCACAGACAGUGAAAGAUGCUGCUGAAUCCAAAGACUUCCUGAACUCCUGCAAAGAGCCAUCUUGGACAAAGGGAUCUGUGAAGACAUAUCAAGAGGAAAAUAUUUUGAAAGUAGAAGCAAUUAUUAACAUGGCGUAAUGAAAACCCAUCUUUCUGCAAACCGUGCUCUCCAACUCACCACCUCAACCUUCUCCAGCAGCUGCGAGCGAGCAAGCUGGAGAAGCAGAGGGAAACAGGUCCGACUGGAAGAACUGACAGAGCUUUACUAACCACCUGGGCAGAACAGAGGUGAGAUGAGCUUCUCAGUCCUCAGAAAGUGACUGCUGACACGCUCAGGAGAUGCAAUUGAGAAGAGGACUCCCUCUCUAUUGAGGAAGGCAAAGAGGAGGGACCAGGAAUAAAUGGACCGGUCUGAAAAGCAAAAGGGAGUGGAGUCAGUCUGGCAUCAGUGGGCCGUCGGAUGUCUCUCCAAACAGUGCUGAACUACAUGUGUAUUGGACUAGGUUGCUGAGGUACAUAAUUCCUGGAAGCAGUAGCUCCGUGAGCAUGGACAUAGAAGAACAAUAUCCAAGGACUAUCACAUGUGUCGUUCUAGAGCUGCCUUAGUCUUUCCUUCCACUGCUGCUGUUUGGAUUCAAUUCUGGGAAUCCUAUCAAAUAACAGAGUGGUACCAAAGGCAGUGUACAAGGCUUAUGGAUGGCAAACAUCUACACCUCUUUCCCUCUGUGUCCAAGGUAUCCAACUUUCCCAGAAUAAAUCAGCAUUAUCUCUUCUCUGCAUCUAAGAAAUAAGAAGAGGAAGGCUUAUAAGCAAGCCCAGAGUAAGUCAUCAAAGAGAAACAGUGUUGUGGCUAACCAGACUGGAAACUUUGGUGGUCAGGGAUUUCAGCUGCGACCGUGGCUGUUACAGCUCAGUGUGUUACAACAGUCCUGGUACAAAUUUAUUUCAGAUGAGUUUCAACCUCCCUUUUGCCAACAAGAAAGUGGUAAUCAAUAACAUUGACUUUUUAUUCAUUUUACUCUUUUCCUUAGUGUUAUACAACCACUUGUAACCUUACUUAUUUGGA